AUGUCUCUCCCUCCGACCGACGGCGGCGACGAUUGGUUCCUCGACUGCGGCAUCCUCGAGGACCUCCCGGCCGCUGCCUGCGGCGCUUUCCCGUGGGACGCCUCCGUCUCCUCGUCCAAUCCAAGUGCGGAAGUAGGCAGCUAUGUGAACAAUUCAGAUGUCCCCAAGGAUUCCGGCAGCAAUAAACGCUUAAGGUCAGAGCCCUGUGGUAGGCCGACAUCUAAGGCUUGUAGGGAAAAAGUGAGAAGAGACAAGCUGAAUGACAGGUUCCUUGAAUUGGGUACUACAUUGGAUCCUGGUAAGCCAGUAAAAGCUGACAAAGCUGCUAUCCUAAGUGAUGCAACUCGCAUGGUUACUCAGCUUCGUGCUGAAGCGCAGCAGCUAAAGGAUACUAAUGGAAGUCUAGAAGACAAGAUUAAAGAGUUGAAGGCUGAGAAGGAUGAACUUCGUGACGAGAAGCAGAAGCUGAAACUAGAGAAAGAGACAUUAGAGCACCAGAUGAAACUUUUGACUGCAACUCCAGCCUAUAUGCCUCAUCCUACUAUGAUGCCCUCCCCAUUCGCUCAGGCGCCGAUGGCUCCCUUCCAUGCACAGGGGCAAGCUCUAGGACAGAAACUGAUGAUGCCCUUUGUUGGUUACCCAGGAUAUCCGAUGUGGCAGUUGAUGCCGCCCUCUGAAGUCGACACCUCAAAGGACAGCGAAGCAUGCCCGCCUGUUGCGUGA
rnacentral:rRNA from 1 species